rnacentral:rRNA from 1 species
UACGUAGGGUGCAAGCGUUAAUCGGAAUUACUGGGCGUAAAGCGUGCGCAGGCGGUUAUGUAAGACAGGUGUGAAAUCCCCGGGCUUAACCUGGGAACUGCGCUUGUUACUGGCAGGCUUGAGUGUGGCAGAGGGGGGUGGAAUUCCACGUGUAGCAGUGAAAUGCGUAGAGAUGUGGAGGAACACCGAUGGCGAAGGCAGCCCCCUGGGCUAACACUGACGCUCAUGCACGAAAGCGUGGGGAGCAAACAGG